UGUGUGUGUAUAUAGGUAUGUAUGUUUGUGUGUAUAGGUAUGUAUGUAUGUUUGUGUAUAUGUGUGUGUGUGUAUAUAGGUAUGUGUGUGUGUGUAUGUUAUAGGUAUGUGUGUGUGCGUGUGUAUAUAGGUAUGUAUGUGUGUGUGUAUAGGUUAUGUGUGUAUAUGUAUGUAUAUGUGUGUGUGUGUGUAUGUGUAUAGGUAUGUGUGUGUGCGUGUGUAUAUAGGUAUGUAUGUGUGUGUGUAUAUAGGUAUGUGUGUGUGUGUAUACUUAUGUGUGUGUGCGCGGUGUUAUGUGUGUGUGCGUGUGUGUAUAGGUAUGUGUGUGUGUGUUAUAUAGGUAUGUGUGUGUGUGUGUAUGUGUAUAGGUUGUGUGUGCGUGUGUAUAUAUAGGUAUGUGUGUGUGUGUAUAGGAUGUGUGUGUGUAUAGGUAUGUGUGUGUGUAGGUAUUGGAUGUGUGUGUAUAGGUAUGAAUGUAUGUGUGUGUGUGUAUAGGUAUGUGUGUGUGUAUAUAGGUAUGUGUGUGUGUGUAUAUAGGUAUGUGUGUGCGUGUGUAUAUAUAGGUAUAUGUGUGUGUGUAUAGGUAUGUGUGUGUGUGUAUAGGUAUGUGUGUGCGUGUGUAUAUAUAGGUAUGUGUGUGUGUGUAUAGGUAUGUGUGUGGUGUGUAUAGGUAUGUGUGUGUGUAGGUAUGUAUGUGUGUGUAUAGGUAUGAAUGUAUGUGUGUGUGUGUGUAUGUAUAUGUAUUUAUAUAAAUUAAUCAAAUACUGCCUAUCUUCCUGUGAUACAUCUGUUAAUGUAAUUCAUGUUUAUUCCUGUUUAAUGUUUAUUUUAUUCAUUAUUGCUCUUCUAUUCCUUUAUUUGUUGUUAUUGAUUGAAUAUAUAACUUCUGUAUUCAUUUGCGUUGGCAACAUUGUUAAAACAGUCACGCCAAUAAAGCACACUGUGAAGUGAACUGACAGACAGAGGGAGAGAGAGAUGGAAUGAGAAAGAGAGAGAGAGAGAGAGAGAGAGAGAGAGAGAGAGAGAGAGAGAGAGAGGGAGAGAUGGAACGAGAAAGAGCGAUAGAGAGAGAGAUGGAAAGAGAAGGAGAGAGAUAGAGAUGGAAAGAGAGAGAGAGAGAGAGAGAGAGGGAGAGAGAUGGAAAGAGAAGGAGAGAGAGAGAGAGAGAGAGGGAGAGAGAUGGAAAGAGAAGGAGAGAGAGAGAGAGAGAGAGGGAGAGAGAUGGAACGAGAAAGAGCGAUAGAGAGAGAGAGAUGGAAAGAGAAGGAGAGAGAGAGAGAGAGAGAGGGAGAGAGAUGGAACGAGAAAGAGCGAUAGAGAGAGAGAGAUGGAAAGAGAAGGAGAGAGAGAGAGAGAGAGAUGAGUGUAGUGUGACUCUGAAUGAGACGAGCUGCAUGUCCACUACAGCGUCACUCACAGAACUAUGAGACAGGAGCUCCAGGCUGUGUGUGUGUGUGUGUGUGUGUGUGUGUGUGUGUGUGUGUGUGUGUGUGUGUGUGUGUGUGUGCGAGUGAGUGAGAGUGAGAGAGAGAGAGAUGAUGAUGAUGAUGGACAGGCGUGAUGAUGGAUGACGGCUGUAACGAUGCUGAUGUUGCAGUGUGAUCUUAAUCAGAACUGCAAAAGGAGCAGCACAGCACUCAGAGGCCUCCUCUCUCUCUAUCUCCAUCUCUCUCACCCUGCCUCCCUCUGCAUCUCUCCUUCUCUUUCCAUCUCUCUCCCUCUCUC
ensembl:lncRNA